CUUACCUUUACAAGUUGACAUCUGCCAUUAUAGUCACUCUCAUGAUUUAACUCUGUUGCUGUUAUUAAAAAGUUUCCUUCUUAGAGUUUUUGAGGUUCUUUUUAGUGGUUUGGUUUGGGUUUUGGUGGGGUUUUUUUAGCUGUUGUCUUCCCCUGCUUUCUAUAAAUAGCCUUCUGACUGGCAGGUCUCCAUAAAGACACUGAAACAUAUCAAUUCCCCCUGUUUUCAGUGGGAGCAAAAAAGAACUGUCUAAAUUUGAGCCUGUCUGUUUGGGUCUGUGUGCAUCAUAUUUCCUAUUGCUAAGAGAAAGCAAAGUCUCAUUUCCUUGUCUUUCAGAGGGACCAAAAGCUUUAUGGAUGAGUGUCUGCAAUGCAGUAGUAUUGGCAAUAGGACAUCUAGAUGCUUCACACGUACUGAAAUACUGGCUGAUCCUUGAAAAGUCUUGCCAUUCCUGACUGUGCUUCAGGGAGGAAAAAAUGACACACAUAAAUGCUGUUAAAGAUCAAAUAUGUGCCCACUUAUGGCCUUCACAACAACACCUACACCCACAGGCCUGGCAGCAAGUGUGGCAUCCAGCACUUUCAGCACCGAAGGACCAAAUCCCUAAUACCUGAGCUUCAGGAUAUAAUUCUGAGCUCUUGGAGGCCCUCUAAGCAAAGACCUUCUCUUCACUGCCCUGAUGCAUACUGAACAGCCUCAGGCUUCUGGAGAUAUUUUUUUCCUGGGGUUACCUUGCAUUACCAGUUCCAAGAUCAAUGUUUGCAGCCUGAGGGAAGAUUAGAUGCUACUUCCUCGAGAUGCCUGUGCAUUGUAGUGAGACAAAGGACAUGGAUAAACUCUCCCAGUUUUAAAGUUCACUGUGGAUGGAGCACUGCUGGGUCAGCCUCUGAAGCCGGUUGAUGACUGUGUCCCUAGCAAUGAAGUACCAGUUCUGUGCAAAAAGGGAUGAUGAUCUCUACCCAUGGCAUUAAAGGAAGGAGCAGAUAAGAACUGCCUAUAGAUGAAUGAACCUUAAUAGUGAUAUAGAUCCUGCUCUUCUGGGUACAUAAAUCCUACUUAUUAUAAGCCCUGAGUUUGUGACUUUUACGACUGCGGCUCCAUUUACCUGCGCAGUUGCAGCUGUGAUACCCAGUGGUAGCACAGUUGCCGAAAACAUUAAGGGCACUCUGCAUGGAUCACCAUGCAGCAAGACUGAGACUUCUUCCGCACAGAGCGAUGUGUCAGCCAGAUGUUUGUGGGAAGUGACAGUCACCUUCCGGGCUCUGUUCCUGACUGCUGAUGACUUAUGAGGAAAAUUACUUCUGUUUCCGUUUCUGAGCCCGUUGCUACCACCUAAUUUCCACUGGGAUCCGUUAGUCUGUUCAGGAACGCAGCAGCCCCCGCUCAGAACAGCCACCCUGGCUUGAGAAUUGCUGCUCCAGAGGUCAUUAGAGUCCUUUAUUAAUAAUCAUUGCAUUAACCUCCCAGCUAGCCAGUGACAGAAAUGCCAUUUCUCCCAUUUUAUAGCUGAGAAAAAUGAAGCGUGGACAGAUUCAUCAUCUGGUUACAGAGUCGAUGGGAACUCUUAAUGCUCCAUAAAUCUGAAAAUUAGGCUGUCAGCAACUUCUCCUAAAGAAACCUGCAGCAAAGCUAUCCAGGGGACCCAGUUCCUAACCAUCAGGUACGCUCCCUCCCCGGUUUACUGGGAGAAACCUGGACACUUCUCCCUGAAUUUGAAUUCCUGCAGUGAGACACAGGUGUGGGGAUCUGGAGGGCAUGGUCGGGCAGGGAAAGAGAGCUCAGGACUCCCUGCCCACAGCAGACACAUCUGCUCUGCAGGGCAGCAGUACCCACUUGCUACGUGCACAGGGGAGGGCCUCUGAGGAAAGGGCACAAUGCACUUAAUGAUGGCGUUUUGACAGAGGGGUAGGAGUUAAUGGCUCUUGUAGCAACUCAGGUACAUGCACAGUCAUCACUUGAAACUUGACUGUGAGAAAAUAUUUGCUUAUUAAAAUACUCAAACUAACUCAGGCUGCAUGGGAUAUGAGGGCAGCAGGAAUUGGGGGGACUGGUUUUGGUUUUUUUAAUUUCUUUUCUAGUUCAGUAAUGCAGAAGCAAGUAGUGGCAGGAAGGAAGAUGCUUAGCGACAUCUAUUAUAGUUAAGAUUAUACAGAAUUAUUAAAAAAAAAAGGAUUUCUUUCAAUGCUUUAUAAUAACACCUUUGCCACCUGCAGAUGGAAUUUUAUGCACUGGCCUUAGGCUAACUCCAAGUUGGUGUAGAGAUUUUGAGCAAAAAUGUUGUAACCAUUUUCAGAAAUGAAGAAUCAGCAAAAUAAAAUAUUAACAUUUACUGCUAUGUUUAAAAAGCUCUGAUCCUUUAAAGCAAAAAACAAACAAACAAAAAAGUGUCUGGGAGAAAUGUCACCUUUACACUGCAAACUACAUCAUUCAGGUCUUCUGAAGAGGCAUUUGACUUGAUAGAACUAAAAUGAGGUUUAAAUCAUUUGGUGAUUCUUCUGUAAUGAAAUACUGUCCUCCAAAGUUUCCAGGCGCUACAAAGACCCCAAAAGAAAUGCACAUGCAACUGCUGUUUCAAUGCGUGUGCAUUGAAGCAAAGCUACAGAGGAGCUUGACUUCAUUUCUGACCUACACAAGCAGAAAUACCUGAUUCACUGCUCAAAAUUAUGAAAUUUCCUUUAGAAGUGAAAAAGGAAGAUACCAUCUUGUUAUUAAACACCGCACUGUAAUGCAUGUGCCCGGGGGUAGAGUGAAGGUUCUCUUAUGGCACGUCCUUUUGCUCUGAGUCUUUGACCUUGUAUUCAAAGAGUGGGCUUUCUAGGAAAAUAUUAACCAAACCCUCCACUUGGCAUAAGCCGAGCUAGAGGUAGUUUCUCUCCCACACGUGCUUGGCCCAGCCUCGGCUUGUGCAAGCCCAGGUCGGUCUCAGGACGCUGCAGCUCUGCCGAAGUUUGCUGUUUCUCACGCACUGCAGUAGCGAGGCGAGGCUGCUCCUUACCCAGCGUAGCUGCUACCGUUGACACCCCCUAAAACCUGGCCAAGCUCAGCCCCUGCUAUGGUUCCCACUCUCAGCUAAUACACUAUGCCUAAAUACAGACAUGAUCAAAUUCAUUCCUUCUGUAACUGCACUAAUCCUUUUAGUAAAGAUGAAUUCGGCA